CAAAGGUUAAUUCCGGUGGCGGAUGGGCAUGCGUCGCAUUAGUUAGUUGGCGGUGUAACGGACCACCAAGACGACGAUGCGUAGGGGUUCUGAGAGGAAGGUCCCCCACACUGGUACUGAGACACGGACCAGACUCCUACGGGAGGCAGCAGUGAGGAAUAUUGGUCAAUGGGCGGGAGCCUGAACCAGCCAAGUCGCGUGAGGGAUGACGGCCCUAUGGGUUGUAAACCUCUUUUGCCGGGGAGCAAAGUGCCGCACGUGUGCGGUUUGGAGAGUACCCGGAGAAAAAGCAUCGGCUAACUCCGUGCCAGCAGCCGCGGUAAUACGGAGGAUGCGAGCGUUAUCCGGAUUUAUUGGGUUUAAAGGGUGCGUAGGCGGACGCUUAAGUCAGCGGUAAAAUUGCGGGGCUCAACCUCGUCGAGCCGUUGAAACUGGGUGCCUUGAGUGGGCGAGAAGUACGCGGAAUGCGUGGUGUAGCGGUGAAAUGCAUAGAUAUCACGCAGAACUCCGAUUGCGAAGGCAGCGUACCGGCGCCCAACUGACGCUGAAGCACGAAGGCGUGGGUAUCGAACAGGAUUAGAUACCCUGGUAGUCCACGCAGCAAACGAUGAAUGCUAGUUGUCCGGGGCGAUUGAGUUCUGG
rnacentral:rRNA from 1 species